rnacentral:lncRNA from 1 species
GUCCCUAAGUUAAGUUUUGAUGUUCAGUUUAGUUCCCGCUUUUAAAAAUGUCAACCUUUAGUCCCUAUGAUAUGAAAAAUAUAUCAAAUCAGUCCUCAUGACAACACUUAAUGAACAAUAAAUCACAAGUUUUCAUACAUAGGUAUCCAAUAUUUUGUUAUUUGUGAAUAGAAGGUGUUAUGAACAACAAAUCAUUUAACGAA